AUUGAACGCUGGCGGCAGGCUUAACACAUGCAAGUCGAACGAGUGGCGGACGGGUGAGUAAUGCUUGGGAAUCUGGCUUAUGGAGGGGGAUAACGACGGGAAACUGUCGCUAAUACCGCGUACCAUAGGAUGAGCCCAAGUGGGAUUAGGUAGUUGGUGGGGUAAUGGCCUACCAAGCCGCCGAUCUCUAGCUGGUCUGAGAGGAUGACCAGCAACAGCGGAACUGAGACACGGCCCAGACUCCGACGGGAGGCAGCAGUGGGGAAGAGUGCGCAAUGGGGGAAACCUGACGCAGCCAGGCCGCGGGAAUGAAGAAGGCAUUCGGGUUGUAAAGUUCUUUCGGUGACGAGGCGUUAAUCACAGAAGAAGCACCGGCUAACUCCGUGCCAGCAGCCGCGGUAAUUC
rnacentral:rRNA from 1 species